rnacentral:lncRNA from 1 species
CGCCGCGCGCCCAGGGACAGGAGAGAGGGUGAGCACGGGGACGCGCGGCGGCCACACGACCCUCGUCGUCACCCGCCCGGGGAGUGGUACGAGAGGAGUGGGGGGAGGGGGUCCCUCAGCCGGCGCGGACGGCGGCUAACGUCUCCCGAAGGCGGCCGCUGCAGCUUCUCGACCCCAGUCCCCUCCCCCAGCAGCAGCCCAGCAGCGAGCACGCCCACCGUUCGUCUCCUCCGCGGCGCGGGGCCGGCUGGGAGAUGGAGUGCAGAGCCCGGUGGAGGCUAAAGGAGGCCGCCCCGCGGACACUACAACUCCCAGAAUGCACCGCCCAUUUGGCAGCUUUGCUUCACCCCCCCCUACCGCCCCCUCUGCCUUCGGUUUUUCUCGAGCCGCCGCCUCCGUCCACCGACUGCGGGUUGGUGUUCUCGGAAUGCGAGUAGUUGGCUGCCUCUCCUGCGCAGCGCCAGGGUGAUCGCAACCAUUACUCCACACGUGAAAUCGUUUUUCCUUAAAGCCUUGAUCGACGAAGCACGAAGAAGGGAAGAAAGCGGUGGCAGCUGUCUGGAAAACUGGUUGCAGGUGGACCUAGCCCUAGUGCUGGGAGGAAACGUUGGAUACUUGGGCUUUUGAGGAAAUACCCGCGUCAGUGCCAGACAGGCGAGCCAGAGAACGGAAUCUCCCUUUUCCUCCUGUAACAGAUGUUGGUCUAUGUUUUCAUGAGUAAUGUAUUCAAAAAUGGUCCGCGAGGGACUUCAGUACAUCUGCUUAGCCCUUAAUUCACCUGAGUUGUAAAUUUAAUUCAGGGGCUUCCUUGAAACCAAGCGACGUAGGACCCAGAGCUGAAGAUUUUGCCGCAAUGGCUUGAACAAAUCACUGGGAAAUAAGACAGUUUUUAAUCAUCUCAAGUACUCUGUCUCUACCUGCAAUCAAAACUCCUCAAUUCCGCCCCAUUAUAUUCACUCGUUAAAGAGGUGCCCCCCGAAGAGGAGAGGAUAAAUACGUAGCCCUCUUUUAGAGGGUACCGUAAAUAGCCUUCCCGUUUUCCUGCCACUCUUGCUUCCCGCAGUACCUUUCCAUUCCACGAAUUCCUUUCCUGUUGUUCUCUGUCUCCAAAGACAAGUCGACAAAAUCUGAGCAGAAAUCUCUUGAUUUAAUAAAUAUAUCCUGGCCAAAAAAAUAAAAAAAUAUAUAUAUCCUGGCCAUAACCUAGCUGUCUCACUCUGUAAACUAUGCCCUAAGCAGCAGUAUUAUGAACAAAUACUGCAUAUGAAAAUACAUUAUGGGAUAAUGACUUUGCGGAAGAUUUAAUACAAGGUUCCUAUGAAGAAAAUGAAUCCAGUGCAAUUAUGAUGCAUUUGCCAAAAAAAAAAAAAUCAUGCUUUUUUUUUU